UUAACGCUGAGGUGUGAUGACGAGGCACUACGGUGCUGAAGUAACAAAUGCCCUGCUUCCAGGAAAAGCCUCUAAGCAUCAGGUAACACGAAAUCGUACCCCAAACCGACACAGGUGGUCAGGUAGAGAAUACCAAGGCGCUUGAGAGAACUCGGGUGAAGGAACUAGGCAAAAUGGUGCCGUAACUUCGGGAGAAGGCACGCUGAUAUGUAGGUGAAGCCCCUGCGGGUGGAGCUGAAAUCAGUCGAAGAUACCAGCUGGCUGCAACUGUUUAUUAAAAACACAGCACUGUGCAAACACGAAAGUGGACGUAUACGGUGUGACGCCUGCCCGGUGCCGGAAGGUUAAUUGAUGGGGUUAGCGGCAACGCGAAGCUCUUGAUCGAAGCCCCGGUAAACGGCGGCCGUAACUAUAACGGUCCUAAGGUAGCGAAAUUCCUUGUCGGGUAAGUUCCGACCUGCACGAAUGGCGUAAUGAUGGCCAGGCUGUCUCCACCCGAGACUCAGUGAAAUUGAACUCGCUGUGAAGAUGCAGUGUACCCGCGGCAAGACGGAAAGACCCCGUGAACCUUUACUAUAGCUUGACACUGAACACUGGUCCUUGAUGUGUAGGAUAGGUGGGAGGCUUUGAAGCGUGGACGCCAGUCUGCGUGGAGCCGCCCUUGAAAUACCACCCUUUAAUGGCUGGUGUUCUAACGUAGACCCGUGAUCCGGGUUGCGGACAGUGUCUGGUGGGUAGUUUGACUGGGGCGGUCUCCUCCCAAAGAGUAACGGAGGAGCACGAAGGUUAGCUAAUCCUGGUCGGACAUCAGGAGGUUAGUGCAAUGGCAUAAGCUAGCUUGACUGCGAGAGUGACGGCUCGAGCAGGUGCGAAAGCAGGUCAUAGUGAUCCGGUGGUUCUGAAUGGAAGGGCCAUCGCUCAACGGAUAAAAGGUACUCCGGGGAUAACAGGCUGAUACCGCCCAAGAGUUCAUAUCGACGGCGGUGUUUGGCACCUCGAUGUCGGCUCAUCACAUCCUGGGGCUGAAGUAGGUCCCAAGGGUAUGGCUGUUCGCCAUUUAAAGUGGUACGCGAGCUGGGUUUAGAACGUCGUGAGACAGUUCGGUCCCUAUCUGCCGUGGGCGCUGGAGAAUUGAGGGGGGCUGCUCCUAGUACGAGAGGACCGGAGUGGACGCAUCACUGGUGUUCGGGUUGUCAUGCCAAUGGCACUGCCCGGUAGCUAAAUGCGGAAGAGAUAAGUGCUGAAAGCAUCUAAGCACGAAACUUGCCCCGAGAUGAGUUCUCCCUGAGACUUUAAGUCUCCUGAAGGAACGUUGAAGACGACGACGUUGAUAGGUCGGGUGUGUAAGCGCAGCGAUGCGUUGAGCUAACCGAUACUAAUGAACCGUGAGGCUUAACCUU
rnacentral:rRNA from 1 species